rnacentral:lncRNA from 10 species
AUCUGCCCUAUUCUAAUCAUGUCUUUGUCUUCUGUUUAUUCAAGUGUAUUCCAUUUGCUUUCGGGAAUAUUUGGAUGUUUUAGAACUAACAUUCUGCUUUAAUAAUCCAAACACACUAUAAUUCCAUCAAUUUGAGUCUCUUAAAAUGUUACACUGAAAUGAAUCUCUCUGAAGAUGGACUUAUUGAUUUCUAUAUUCUUCCUCUAGCAUCAUGAAAUUUGACCUCUUCAGCCGUGCAUGGUUAACACUCCAUCUAUCUGAGUAAGUCCUGCCUUGAAGAAUCGUGAGUGCAAACCAGUUUGAGAGAGAAGAGGAAAAAUAAAUGAGUCGUGCUCUGUCUUCCAGGCUGGAAUGCAGUGGUAUGAUCACAACUCACAACUUACUGCAUCCUCUACCUCCUGAGCUCAAGGGGAAUCCUUCCACUUCAGCCUCCAAGGUGGCUGGGACCAUAGAUACACUCCACUACUCAAAGUUUAGCAACCACUCAAGGAAAUUUAAAACACUAAAUUUCUGGACUUGCCAGACUAAGGGCCAGACUCUGGACCUCACCAAAUUCAUCAAGGAAGUCAUGAAGAACAUCAGUGCCCAGGAAGAGAACUGCCAUGAGGGUGGGGUCACUUCAGACAGUCCCCACUGAGUCAAUGCCCAGUGGAGCCAUAGGGUUGGUUCUACCCUCAAGACCUUAGACUGGUAGAGCAACCAGAGUUCUAUUCCAGCACAGAAGAGCUCUGGUGUGGGCCGCACCCAGCAAAACCAAGCAGGGAUGCCUGGAGCCCUGGAGCCCAUUUGCCCAGUAAAGCUGAGAAGAUGGAGCCUCUACCCCACUGUGUCCACAAGGAGACCUCUGCCCCAGUGGGCCUCAAGGGCAGACAACUGAGUCAAAGAAGAUUCUUCCACAACAUUUAUGUUUUGGACUUGUUCAGGACCUAUCAUUUAUUUCUUCUUUCCUAUUUCUUUAUUUUCCAGUGGGAAUGUCUUUCCUUGCCUGUCCCACCAUUAUAUUUUGGAAGCACAUAAUUUGUUUUAUUUCACUGGUUCACAACUGGACAAAAAUUUGCCUCAGAAUGAAUUGUAUCUUGAGUCUCAUCCAUAUCUGAUUUAGAUAAUAUUUAGAUGAGAUGUGAACUUUAGACUUCUAAGUUGAUAUUAGAACAAGUUAAUACUUUUGGGGUAAUUGAAAUGAAUGCAUUUUACAUUUGAGAAGGACAUGCCUUUUUGGGGGAUGGGGCAGAAUGAAAUGGUCUAAAUAUAUCCCCUUAAAAUUCAUAUGUUCAAACCCUAACCUCCAAGGUGAUGGCAUUAAGAAAUGAAGCCUUUGUGAGGUGAUGAGCUGAUGAGGGCAAAUCCUUCAUGAAUGAGAUUAGUGUCCUUAUUAAAGAGUCUGAAACUCCUCACCAAUUAAAGCUGCCAUAUGAAGUUACAGUGAAAAGACAACUAUCUAUGAAACAGAAACUGAGUCCUUACUAGACACUGAAUUUGAGGGUGCCUUGAUCUUGGAUUUUCAAGCAUCCAAACUGUGAGAAAUAAAUUUC